rnacentral:rRNA from 1 species
GCGUGGCCGCUAUACAUGCAGUAGAACGCUGAAGAGAGGAGCUUGCUCUUCUUGGAUGAGUUGCGAACGGGUGAGUAACGCGUAGGUAACCUGCCUUGUAGCGGGGGAUAACUAUUGGAAACGAUAGCUAAUACCGCAUAACAAUGGAUGACACAUGUCAUUUAUUUGAAAGGGGCAAUUGCUCCACUACAAGAUGGACCUGCGUUGUAUUAGCUAGUAGGUGAGGUAAUGGCUCACCUAGGCGACGAUACAUAGCCGACCUGAGAGGGUGAUCGGCCACACUGGGACUGAGACACGGCCCAGACUCCUACGGGAGGCAGCAGUAGGGAAUCUUCGGCAAUGGGGGCAACCCUGACCGAGCAACGCCGCGUGAGUGAAGAAGGUUUUCGGAUCGUAAAGCUCUGUUGUAAGUCAAGAACGGGUGUGAGAGUGGAAAGUUCACACUGUGACGGUAGCUUACCAGAAAGGGACGGCUAACUACGUGCCAGCAGCCGCGGUAAUACGUAGGUCCCGAGCGUUGUCCGGAUUUAUUGGGCGUAAAGCGAGCGCAGGCGGUUUGAUAAGUCUGAAGUUAAAGGCUGUGGCUCAACCAUAGUUCGCUUUGGAAACUGUCAAACUUGAGUGCAGAAGGGGAGAGUGGAAUUCCAUGUGUAGCGGUGAAAUGCGUAGAUAUAUGGAGGAACACCGGUGGCGAAAGCGGCUCUCUGGUCUGUAACUGACGCUGAGGCUCGAAAGCGUGGGGAGCGAACAGGAUUAGAUACCCUGGUAGUCCACGCCGUAAACGAUGAGUGCUAGGUGUUGGAUCCUUUCCGGGAUUCAGUGCCGCAGCUAACGCAUUAAGCACUCCGCCUGGGGAGUACGACCGCAAGGUUGAAACUCAAAGGAAUUGACGGGGGCCCGCACAAGCGGUGGAGCAUGUGGUUUAAUUCGAAGCAACGCGAAGAACCUUACCAGGUCUUGACAUCCCGAUGCUAUUUCUAGAGAUAGAAAGUUACUUCGGUACAUCGGUGACAGGUGGUGCAUGGUUGUCGUCAGCUCGUGUCGUGAGAUGUUGGGUUAAGUCCCGCAACGAGCGCAACCCCUAUUGUUAGUUGCCAUCAUUCAGUUGGGCACUCUAGCGAGACUGCCGGUAAUAAACCGGAGGAAGGUGGGGAUGACGUCAAAUCAUCAUGCCCCUUAUGACCUGGGCUACACACGUGCUACAAUGGUUGGUACAACGAGUUGCGAGUCGGUGACGGCGAGCUAAUCUCUUAAAGCCAAUCUCAGUUCGGAUUGUAGGCUGCAACUCGCCUACAUGAAGUCGGAAUCGCUAGUAAUCGCGGAUCAGCACGCCGCGGUGAAUACGUUCCCGGGCCUUGUACACACCGCCCGUCACACCACGAGAGUUUGUAACACCCGAAGUCGGUGAGGUAACCUUUGGAGCCAGCCGCCUAGAG